rnacentral:rRNA from 1 species
GUGACCUCAAAUCAGGUAGGACUACCCGCUGAACUUAAGCAUAUCAAUAAGCGGAGGAAAAGAAACUAACAAGGAUUCCCCUAGUAACUGCGAGUGAAGCGGGAAAAGCUCAAAUUUAAAAUCUGGCAGUCUUUGGCUGUCCGAGUUGUAAUCUAGAGAAGUGCUAUCCGCGCUGGACCGUGUACAAGUCUCCUGGAAUGGAGCGUCAUAGAGGGUGAGAAUCCCGUCUUUGACACGGACUACCAGGGCUUUUGUGAUGUGCUCUCAAAGAGUCGAGUUGUUUGGGAAUGCAGCUCAAAAUGGGUGGUAAAUUCCAUCUAAAGCUAAAUAUUGGCGAGAGACCGAUAGCGAACAAGUACCGUGAGGGAAAGAUGAAAAGAACUUUGGAAAGAGAGUUAAACAGUACGUGAAAUUGCUGAAAGGGAAACGCUUGAAGUCAGUCGCGUUGUCCAGGGAUCAACCUUGCUUUUGCUUGGUGCACUUCCUGGUUGACGGGUCAGCAUCAAUUUUGACUGUUGGAAAAAGAUCAAGGGAAUGUGGCAUCU